rnacentral:rRNA from 1 species
GAUGAACGCUGGCGGCGUGCCUAAUACAUGCAAGUCGAGCGAACAGACGAGGAGCUUGCUCCUCUGACGUUAGCGGCGGACGGGUGAGUAACACGUGGAUAACCUACCUAUAAGACUGGGAUAACUUCGGGAAACCGGAGCUAAUACCGGAUAAUAUAUUGAACCGCAUGGUUCAAUAGUGAAAGACGGUUUUGCUGUCACUUAUAGAUGGAUCCGCGCCGCAUUAGCUAGUUGGUAAGGUAACGGCUUACCAAGGCAACGAUGCGUAGCCGACCUGAGAGGGUGAUCAGCCACACUGGAACUGAGACACGGUCCAGACUCCUACGGGAGGCAGCAGUAGGGAAUCUUCCGCAAAGGGCGAAAGCCUGACGGAGCAACGCCGCGUGAGUGAUGAAGGUCUUCGGAUCGUAAAACUCUGUUAUUAGGGAAGAACAAAUGUGUAAGUAACUAUGCACGUCUUGACGGUACCUAAUCAGAAAGCCACGGCUAACUACGUG